CAGUAGCCACGGUAAUACGAAGGGGGCUAGCGUUGUUCGGAAUUACUGGGCGUAAAGCGCACGUAGGCGGAUAUUUAAGUCAGGGGUGAAAUCCCGCAGCUCAACUGCGGAACUGCCUUUGAUACUGGGUAUCUUGAGUAUGGAAGAGGUUAGUGGAAUUGCGAGUGUAGAGGUGAAAUUCGUAGAUAUUCGCAGGAACACCAGUGGCGAAGGCGGCUAACUGGUCCAUAACUGACGCUGAGGUGCGAAAGCGUGGGGAGCAAACAGGAUUAGAUACCCCCGUAGUCCCUGUCUCUUAUAU
rnacentral:rRNA from 1 species